rnacentral:snRNA from 1 species
GUGUUCUCUUGGGCAGCACAUAAUACUAAAACAUUGGAACAAUAUGAAAAAGGUUAGCAUGGCCCCUAUGUAAGAAUGACACACAAAUUUGUAACAAGUUGCAUAUUUUA